CUCUCUCUCUCUCUCUCUUAGACACAAAUAUCACCUUAAAUUGCAUGUCAAUUAUAUUUUCUAUCCGAACAUUUUUUUACUUUCCAUCAUUUUGACCUUUCUGAUUUCCAGUAAAACCAGUAAACAAAACAUUUAUAUAAUAACAUACAUUCUUCAGAGUGGAUAGAUUUUAAAAUAAACAAAUUUAGAAGCUUAUAUACCUCAACUUUAAAACUAGAUCAUCCUUUAGGUUGUAAUCUACCUUAUAAUAAUGAUACCGUAAAUGGCAAGAAGAAAAAAUUAUUUUGAUUUUUAUAAUUCUUAUGAUGAUCUAGAAAUAAUAUUAAACUAAAGAAAAAAGUGGAGAAAACAAGUUAAACCUACACCAGACAGUAGACACCCACAACCAUUAAAUCUGCAUACAUAUUUCACAGAAUCUCUCUCUCUCCGCUCAUCCGUCUGUGUAAUUGCACUUACCCACGUAUGUGCAUGCACAGGGAGUCAGGGACACAUAUGCAUGUGGAUAAUAAUGAUCUGUUGUUUUAUCACAAAGCAAGACUACAAUAUUUUCUUUCCUUUGGUCAACCAUUCACUCCAAUAUUUCAUUAGAUGUCUUCAUACAUAACAACCAUGUCACUAUGGCAAAUUUUAUCAAAGGGAAAAAGCAACAUGAAUUAAACCUCAACAUUCACAAAUGUUAAUCCCACAUGCAAGGUGCAUCCAGGCCAUUCACAAAUAUAGGUGAAGAUCAUCUAUAAGAAACCUUUCUCAGGCUUAAGGUCAAAUGUGAAACUAAAUAUUUUAUCCAAUAACUAAGCUUCUUGAAACUUUUUUUUUCCCGAGAAUUUCUUGAAACUGAGAUAAUGGACUUCCAUCUAUAUAUACACAUGAUUUAAUUAAGUUGGUUUUUGACCUUGCAUCUCCUUUGGGUGCAUGUUGCUUCCAACCCUCUUUAUGUGAAUCACAGCACAAAAACACUACAAACAAUAAAUAUGACUAGUAGUACCAGUCAACUCACCUUGCCAGAGUGACAUCAUGGAAAAAUAGAACCCAGCCAAGACCAAUGAUAAAGCCAGCGGAAAAGACUGCAAAGAGAGUUUGAGGUUAUAGUCUGAGCUAGGUAGUCUAAGUAAUAACAUACACAUUCUAUUAAAGUUACAGACAUAAGAAUCUUGUCCACCUCCAGAAUCGACUGCAUGGGCUAAAAAUGUCAAGGAAAGUUAUGACGACUAUUUUGGGACAGAGCAAUAAUAGUCCAUCAUCAAGGUGAACUUAAUGUUGUACUUGUUUCCAGACUUGGGAUACGCUCAACAAUGAAAUGUAACAGUUUAGCACAACUUUGAUAUUUUCAUGUGUUCCAUGUUGUAAGCUUUAUUAACAAGGAUACUGAAAAUCCCAAGAGAUGUUUAAAAUAUAUUUUCAAAAAUAAAUUAUUAAUUUGACUUAUACUCACAGCUAUAUUCUCAAGGCCUCCUGUUUGAGAUGGAGGG
rnacentral:misc_RNA from 1 species